rnacentral:rRNA from 1 species
UAGGGAAUUUUCCACAAUGGACGAAAGUCUGAUGGAGCAACGCCGCGUGCAGGAUGAAGGGUUUCGGCUCGUAAACUGCUUUUAUCUGUGAAGAUUAUGACGGUAGCAGAUGAAUAAGGAUCGGCUAACUCCGUGCCAGCAGCCGCGGUCAUACGGAGGAUCCAAGCGUUAUCCGGAAUUACUGGGCGUAAAGAGUUGCGUAGGUGGCACUGUAAGUUGGUAGUGAAAGCGUUCGGCUCAACCGAAUAAA